rnacentral:rRNA from 1 species
CCUACGGGUGGCAGCAGUGAGGAAUAUUGGUCAAUGGGAGAGAUCCUGAACCAGCCAAGCCGCGUGAGGGAAGACGGCCCUAUGGGUUGUAAACCUCUUUUGUCGGAGAACAAAACCCGGGACGAGUCCCGGACUGCGUGUAUCCGAAGAAAACGCAUCGGCUAACUCCGUGCAAGCAGCCGCGGUAAUACGGAGGAUGCGAGCGUUAUCAGGAUUUAUUGGGUUUAAAGGGUGCGUAGGCGGUCUGUUAAGUCAGCGGGAAAAUUGCGGGGCUCAACCCCGUCGAGCCGUUGAAACUGGCAGACUUGAGUUGGCGAGAAGUACGCGGAAGGCGCGGUGUAGCGGUGAAAUGCAUAGAUAUCGCGCAGAACUCCGAUUGCGAAGGCAGCGUACCGGCGCCAGACUGACGCUGAGGCACGAAAGCGUGGGGAUCGAACAGGAUUAGAUACCCUUGUAGUC